rnacentral:lncRNA from 1 species
GAACACAAAAUGGCGACACGUGGUUAGCAUUCGUCGCCAACGAGAAAUUGGGGUCGGCCCGAAAGCUCUAGAAUGCACCCCUCUUCCUCCCCGGGGCCUUCCACCUCCGCGAGUUUUAUGACUUAAAAAAGCCCACAGGCUGGUCUGAAGAGGAAGACAAACAUAAAGAUGAAGUGCUUAAUUCAAGGUCACACAAUGUCGGGGAUGGACCUCCAGAUUUCCUUACUGGAAAACAAGCUCAGGGCUCCCACUGAUUGUACAUUAUGGUGAGACGUGGUCUUGUAACACAGUGGUUAAGAAUGUGACUUUGGAGCCAGCCUGCUAGGGGCUGAAUUCUGACUCAGCCAUUUACUAACUGUGUGACCUUAGGGAGGAGGACCUGGUUGAUAGAAGAAUUUAUCUCGUAGUCUUAACAUCCACUGUAAUUCCAAACUUUGAGGACGAUAGAGAUCAGUGGGCUUUGACUGCCCAGCAUGCAGUCUCCAUUCUUAGGUGGGUUCCCAAGCCUGUAAAAUGUAAGCCUUAUGCUGCUGAGGGCC